AUGGAGAGGAAAACACUCAGUUUCUUGUUCAUGCUCUUCCUUCUCUUAGCUGCUGAUGUUACGGUGAAGACAGCAGAAGCGAGAAGGUGUGUGGCUCAAAGCCAUAGGUUUCAUGGACCGUGCUUGAGGGACAGCAACUGUGCAACGGUGUGCUUGGGAGAAGGUUUCACUGGUGGCGAUUGUCAUGGCUUUCGCCGCCGCUGUUUUUGCACCAGGUUUUGUUAG